rnacentral:lncRNA from 1 species
AAUGCCCGCAGCCCAGGAUUCCUCCUAAGCCACGUCCCAUCUGUGUGGGACCCCACUGAAAAUCGGACUGUUCAACUCACCUGGCAGCCAUUCCCAGAGCCCCUGGAACUCUGGCCCAAGGCUCUCUGACUGACUCCUUCCCAGAUCUUCUCGGCUUAGCGGCUAAAGACUGAUGCUGCCCGAUCGCCUCGGAAGCCCCGUAGACCAUCACGGAUGCCGAGCUUCCGGUAACUCUCACAGUGGAAGCUAUAGGUAUAUACAAAAGGAAAAUUAACCUGUGGGCCAUCAUCAUCUUUGCUACUCAAAGUAUGAUUGCUGUACCAGCAGCCUGGGCAUCACUCGUGAGCUUGUUAGAAAUGCAGACUCUCAGGCCCCACUCCAGCCCCACUGACUCAUCAUCUGCAUUUGAUCAAGACUCCCAGGUGUCUCAUAUGCACACUAAACUUUGAUAAUCACUAAACUAUACCACUGUUGUUAAAUCAGCCUGCUUGUUAAGACUGGGCAUUGUGCAAACGGAAAACAAGCAUUGGAGUCAGAAGAAUUCAAUUUCUGCCUCCUUCUUGCAGAGCACCUUGGGCAAAAACAACCAUAAAGACUUUUGCCCACAUUUUUUCCUCACUCCCUCUUCCAUCUAACCAACCCUGAUGCUUUUGUGUGGCCCUGUGUGGUGAGGCAUGCCUCCUUCUCUGGAAAACUGUGAGUAACACAUUAUCUUUUCAAUGCCAAUCAUCUUCUCCUCUGUUGACCUUAGCAAACUUGAAUAAACAUAAAACUUACAUUUUAAGAGUUGUCUCACUUUCUAACACUUCUAUAGUCUAGGGUUCAUUUUUUCCAUUUUUUGAGAAGACAAAGCUAAGACUCCUCCAUCUAUCUUAGAGCCUUCCAUCUUCUUUAAACCAAUAUGGUAUGGUGAGAAGAGGGAAAUAUUUCUAGUAAAAUAGAUUGGUCAGAAUUCAAAUAUCACCUAGUAUGACUCUGGCAGUAACAAAUAGCUGCAAGCAUCUUAGUCAUUCUAUACAUAAAAGUGUAUUGCCCACUCACCAAACCCUCUGCAAGUCUGGAUACUCUCCAGUGCAGCUCACUUCCCAGCAGCUAAGUAUGGAUUCUUCCAGGUUCUAUUUUGUAGCUCCAUCAUCUCAACUCAUGGCUUCUGGGGUCUUCAAGACCUCAGGCAAGAAGAAAGUGAAAAGAACACACACUGAUCAUAAGCAUUAUAUCUGGAGAUGACACGUCACAUUCAUACACAGGUUAUUGGCCAGAAGUCAUCAUAUAACUAACCUAACAAGGAAGUUUGUAAAUAUAGUGGAGUACAUGAAUAUUUGGUGAGUGCUUCCUGUGACAACCACUUCUGCCACUUUUUAGCUUUUUUGCCUUGGGAAAUAUCUUUACCUUCCAUUAGCAUAUUGUGGUGUCCCAAGUGCAGAGUUCAAUAGCGAUUCUACUGGAAAAAUAAGUUGUGAAUCAUUCCUUCCAUUUCUAACACAUGGAUGCAAUGAGUUUAAUAUUCAUUCACUCUGUAGUCACUCAGAGCUCCAUGAACUUUCCUUGGUGGAGUAACCUCUUUACUUAUACUUACAAUAUAAAUUACUAAAAAUUGCAUUCCAUUUUGUCCUUAUUUUCACUUUCAACUUUGGCUUGAGGCUUCUUGUAUGUUUUUAUUUGGGUUGUGUUGAUUUUUUUAAUAUAUAUAUAGUCUAGAAACAGAAUCAUACACAGAUAACUGUCUCAAUAUUCAAAUAGGUCUAAAGAAAAUUGGAGUCUCUUUUAGGAUACCACAGAAAUUAAAUCAACCUAUCAUUUCCUGCUUUAGCUACUUUAUUUCUCUUUUUAUCUGCUGUUUCUCCCUAUUCUGAGUGUCUCUCCAAUUGUAGCACCUCUUUGGGGCCACGUCAUGUGGGACCCCUUCAUAGAUCACUGUUCAGUCUAUAUAUGGUUGUGUUGGUCGCUUACAUAGUCCCAAUACAAUCUGGCACUGUAAGAGUUGCUGAAGGUCAUAUGACACCCUGCACUGUAUAACUCACCCCCGUCAGCUUAUCUCAAAAGAUAGCUUUGGUUGUAGCA